GGGCACUUAGCUCGCUCGGCUGGUUGUUAGAUGUUUCUGAUGUUCAUCACAACCUCCUUGAGUGAGUUGAAAGCCCU
rnacentral:pre_miRNA from 1 species